AGUGGAGUUGAUCAUCUUCCAUUGGGUGCAGUUCUUGGAGGAAUCAUUGGGAUCAUCGUGCUCAUCGGCCUGGUUGUCUUUGUUUGGCGUUUCAAGUCUCCACAUCCAACUGCACAUCAGAGUCAGAAUCAGCCUGUUGGAGAGACAGUGACAACAGAAGAAGAAGGCGUGCACUAUGGAGAGAUUAACUUCUCGGGGCUCAGAUCUGGACCGUCUUCGGUCUCGGAGCAGGACGGUGGACAGCAGGAGGACACGCUGUAUGCGCAGGUCAAAGUGUCCAAGGCAGCAGACAACGUCACACGGACUGCUGACGUCCCAGAGGAUCUCUACGCUCAAGUGAAGAGAAAAUGAGCCAUUUCUUGUGGUCACAUUUGGGUUUUAUUGUUAAUAUGCUUUUUACAUAAAUAACAAGCUUCAUCUGUCAGUUUAUGGAGAAAAAGAAUUGUAAGAAAAUGUAAUCUUCACUGCUCACAGUUAAUUAAAGGGGAACUUCAAACCUCCACA